AUUUAAAAAAAAAAAUAAUCUUUUUUCACUGUUAUAGAUUGAAUAGCAGUCAGUGUCCUUAAAGCGGGUGUGUUACGCUAACAGUGGAUACGCUGACAAGUGCCACUAAUUAGAUCCUGUGUCACAAUAGUUUGGAUUUAAAAAAAAUAAUAAUCUUUUUUCACUGUUAUAGAUUGAAUAGCAGUCAGUGUCCUUAAAGCGGGUGUGUUACGCUAACAGUGGAUACGCUGACAAGCGCC